AGUUUCUGAGCUUAGAAUUGUUGAUAAGCCCCACCACAUAACCCUUAGGACCAAAGAAUGGUGGACCAAGCUCAAAAUAGGACAAUUUCAUCACUGUCGGUCCAACUUACCGACUAUCGAUUCCUGUCAAUCCGAACAACAGUCUUGCCAAUCUGACCGACAGCUCGCGUUAAGUUAUAAAAUUAUUCAGGGUUGGAGCCCCCUCGUUGUGUAGCGUUGCCCGGCUUCGAGCGGAAGUCAAGCACGAGGCGCAGCGUUGCUAGAGCCUUGGAUUCGGAUCGCAUUCUGCUGCCCUAAGCAAUCGUUGAAUCCCAAGAUUUUUAGGCCUAGGAACCACUUCCUACAAGUCGCGCCCGAAUCAAUGGUGGAGCCGAGGAACCCUAACCCUAAGAAAGAAGAUCGCUGUAAUCAAGCUUCCUUUACAUCUUUGACUCGACAUCUGAAGAUAAGUAUCAUGUAUUUAUUUUAUUUCAUUUUGGGUUUUUUCUGAGAUAGCCUGAAAAUUUCAGCGGAUUAUUUUAUGGUUAGCUCGUGAAAAUCACAAAUUGGGUUUUGUUGUGAUAGCCCGUGAAAAUCAUAAGAACUGUAUCAGUUUGUUAAGGUGAUCCCGUGAAAACCUUGAAAUAGUGAAAGCUAAAAUUACGAGGGUCAUGAUUUUGGGAGUGGAGUAUGUGUGGGUUUAAGCACUGAACUACUAUAACUCCUUAAGCAUUGGUUGCGAUUGAUUAUAUCUUUUAUUGUGAAUUCUUUAUUUAUUUUUAUCUAUUACUAGUUUAAAAGUCUGAUCUCAAAGAUGUCAUGAAAUAAGGUUUCAAUACUCAAGCAAUUGAGAGUAAUUGUUUAUUUAUUCUGCAUUAUAUCGAAAUAUUUAGUAUUGUCCCAUUCAUCCCCCCUCUAGGACAUUUAUAACUCGUCCUUUCAAGUGGUAUCAGAGCGGGUUGCUCUUUUUGGGAUUUACCUCCUAGAGCUAGAUCCAGAGCUAUUAAAUGUUAAUUUUUGAUAUUUUAUCUAUUACCAGGCCACCUCCCUUUGAUGGCUCAAACUAUUCUUAUUGGAAAGCCAGAAUGAGGAUUUUUCUCAAAUAUAUUAAUGAAAGUGUGUGACAAGUCACCAUAACAUAAUGGAUCUCUCUUAUGAUGGAAGUAGUAGUUGAAAAUGGAACCACGUCCAUGAAAGAAAUUGCUUAUACUUUUCGGACGACUGUUCAGAAAAUUGAAAACAGUGCUAAUGUAAAGGCCUUAAUUGUAAUAACAUGUGUUCUAUCACCAGAUAAAUUCAAAAGAAUUAUUUCUUAUGGUACAACUAAACAAGCAUGGGAUAUUCUUGAAAUGACACAUGAAGGAACUAACAUUGUCAAAAAAUCUCAGAUCUAAAUCAUCACAACCAAAUUUCAGGAAAUUUGUAUGGAAGAAACUGAGUCAUUCAUGAAUUUUUAUACGAAACUAAAUGACAUAGUUAAUUCUAUGUAGAGUCUUGGAGAUAGAAUCUCUGAAAACAAGGUUUGUGCAAAAAUACUGCGAUCACUUCCUGACAAGUUCAAUUCAAAAGUUACUACUAUACAAGAAUUGAGGGAUACCGAUACUUUAAAGGUUGAGGAAUUAGUUGGAUCUCUACAAACACACGAGCUAAAUUUUAAAGCUCCUAAAAACAAGUCCACAGCUCCCAAAUCCUCUAAAUAUAAAUCCAAAGGUACAAAUGUAAAUUUUGAUGAUGAUGAGAAUGAGGAUAAUAUGAUAACGUUAGCUAAAAUGUUUUAUAGAAUUUUUAAAAAUAAAAAUAGAACAAAUUUUCAAGAACCUUUUGACAAGAGAAAAGGAAAUUCAAAAUUUUGAAAAUCAUAAUUUAAAGACACCCAAUGCUUCAACUAUUCUAAAUUUGGGAAUCUAGCUUCAAUGUCCUAACAAGGAUAAAUCUAAAAGAAGAGGUGUGAUUUCCACUUGGGAUGAAUCAUUGGAAUCUAAAUGUUUCAUUCUCCACUUCUACUUCUUCAGCUCGCCCAUGCUUCCUUCAGCUAACUCAUCAUCUCAACUCACUUGUAAGUAGUUUUAUUUCAUUUUCCUUCAAGAUUUAGGUUGUCCAUUCCUAGAUUUUCAAGUUUGUAUAGUUUUUCUUCAUCUUGAAACCCUUUUUCUUGUUAGGUUUUCCUUAAAAUCUAAUAUACAUUUUCCUUGCAUUUUUCUUGUGCUAUUAAAUGGAAGGAAGAUUUAAAAUAACUACAUGUAAGGCACGAGCUGGUUCAUCUUCCCGAUCGAUCCCUCUUUGUGUACAGUCAUUACGUUUACCGAAGGAUGACCCAAAAAAUAUUCAUGAUUUUUGCCCAAGAAGUAUUAUCAUAGAAAGAUCAGUGAAUGUAGGCCAUAUCGCUUGUUUUGGUCUCGUAGAAAUCCUUUCCGAGUUUGGAUGGGAAAAGAUUUUGCAUUAGGGUGGGAUGGCUUAUCGGUCCGUUGUGUAAGACAUGUUUGCCUCAAUUUGUGAUAUCUCUCUUAAUGAAUUAACUUUCUCAAUUAAAUUUUUAGAGGAGACAAUCAUCAUUAUGCCUUCCACUAUUUCUGCUUUAAUGGACAUUGACAUAGUAGAUGAUGGAAUACGUAUCGCAACGCUUUCAGAGAAAAUGACUAACACUGAAAACAAGAGAUUAUAAUGGCAUUGUGUGGUUUCAAUGCGAAAUGGUGAUCUGGUAACAACUUGCCCUCCAACAAAUUAUUUUCCAAAUACCCCAUCCUGCAUCGCAUCUUUACAUUAAAUGUGUAUCCUAGAGCUGGGAAUAAGACUGAUCUUACUCCCUUUAUUCUUCGUGUCUUCCAUGUCAUUGUCACGGGUAUACGUAUUUGUUUACCUUCCUUGAUUUGUUAUGUUAAUAUUCAAUUUCGUUUGCAUCCUAAGCAUAGGUCGAUUACAUUUAGACAUCUUAUGUCUUCUCUUGCAUUUCAUUAUAAUG